rnacentral:rRNA from 1 species
GACGAACGCUGGCGGCGUGCUUAACACAUGCAAGUCGAACGGAAAGGCCCCCACUUUUUUGGUGGGGGUGCUCGAGUGGCGAACGGGUGAGUAACACGUGGGUGAUCUGCCCUGUACUUCGGGAUAAGCUUGGGAAACUGGGUCGAAUACCGGAUAGGACCAUGGUUUAGUGGCCCAUGGUGGAAAAAUUAUUGUUUUGGGGCAGGAUGAGCUCGCGGCCUAUCAGCUUGUUGGUGGGGUAAUGGCCUACCAAGGCAUCGACGGGUAGCCGGCCUGAGAGGGUGCACGGCCGCAUUGGGACUGUGAUCCGGCACAGAGGGAUACGGGCGGGAGCAGUGGGGAAUCUUGCACCAGGGGCGGAAGACUGAUGCAGCGACGCCGCGUGGGGGAUGACGGCCGUCGGGUUGUAAACUCCUUUCGUUAGGGACGAAGCCGCACCUUUUUUGGGUGUGGUGACGGUACCUUUGUUAAGAAGCACCGGCUAACUCCGUG